GGCCUCCCGGGGCUGCCCACGGGCUGUGUUCGUACACCGCCUACACAGAUGGAGGGGCGGGGUGAGCCCACCCCAUACACCCCUCGGCCCAGGCCCUUUGCCUGGUCUGUACUGUGACUGGGGGGACGUGG